GAUGAAGAACGUAGCGAAAUGCGAUAAGUAAUGUGAAUUGCAGAAUUCAGUGAAUCAUCGAAUCUUUGAACGCACAUUGCGCCCGCUAGUAUUCUGGCGGGCAUGCCUGUCCGAGCGUCAUUUCAACCCUCAAGCCCCCGGGCUUGGUGUUGGGGAUCGGCGAGCCUCCGCGCCCGCCGUCCCCUAAAUCUAGUGGCGGUCUCGCUGUAGCUUCCUCUGCGUAGUAGCACACCUCGCACUGGGAAACAGCGCGGCCACGCCGUUAAACCCCCAACUUCUGAACGUUUGACCUCGGAUCAGGUAGGAAUACCCGCUGAACUUAAGCAUAUCAAUAAGCAGAGGA
rnacentral:misc_RNA from 1 species